GAAGGACACCUCUGGGGUCUCUGAAGGUCAUGCCUGCUCCACAUUCCAGCCUAGGUUUCUCGGCUUCCUGUUCUGAGUCUUGGGAACAGCCUUGUGUGGAAGUUCCUGCCCCUGUCGAUCAAGCCACCCCCACUGUUACACUUUGCCUCUGCCACGGCUGUAACACCUCUGAAGCCAUCUGCCACAGGAAAUCUUUCUUCCAUGAAGUUGUUUCUGCCAGGUAUUUUGGCCACGGAGAUGCCAAGAUAACUGAUACCCUUAAAGGAAAACAUGUGAAGAAGGCUUUGUCUGUCCUGCACUUCCGUGUCUGCUCCACUGGGCACGGUUCAACCCCAUGCUCCCAGUAGAAGUCCCAUGUCAUAACACAACACAUACAUACCCUGGUAUCACCCAGACCUGAAGACCCAGGAGAAAAAAAGAAAAACAAAAGAAGAACACCUCUUCCAUCUCCUCCACAGCCACAGAGGAGGAUCAGGUCUAGUCCUGUGCACACUUAUCUCUUCCCCUGUCAACACGGGCUCACUCUUAUCUCUGUUAGCCAUUCAUUCACGGCUGAGCUAAACAAAACAGGGCAUCCCGUAAAAGAGGGCAAAGAGGAGGAGCAGGUCUACAAACACACAGAAGGAAUGCUGGAUUCAGAUGUUCUUCAUGAGUGAGCAGUUGCAGCCUCCACGGGCUCACAGUGUGAUCCAAUUAGCCCAGAACACAGGACGUGAACUUGCCAGGCCCUGGCAGGAAGAGCUAACAUCCCACCCCACACCGCACCGUACCCCUACCCCUCUCCUGCACCACCACCACCACACACUGCUAUCGGUAAUUGCUCUGCCAUCUAACUGAAUCUUCAGCUCUGUAACUUGCCUGCCAGCCCUUGAUGCUACGGACAGGAGAUAGAACCUUUAAAGACAGUGCCACCCUGGUGCUCCCAGAGACCUGCUACCGUCCUCCAGAAGCAUGCGUUCAAAGCUGGGCCCUGUCAUCCUAGAUGGCCUAACUUAACACUCAACCAACAAAAUGAUGGGGGUUCGUGGACAAAGAAGAUCUCACCUCUCCUUUGAGGAAACGACAGUCAAGGAGGAGCAGACAGGAAGCUACUGUGCUGGAGAGACGGCUCCAUAGGCUCUCUCUCCUCUCUGGUUCAGAAGUUCGUGGAUGCCAUGGGAUCUAUUCCCACGAACAUAAAGUCAACCCCAGAGAGAAUGGAGCAAAGCCUCCAUAUCCCAGUCCUCUAAGGGACACCACUCACCCGGAUGCCUCACAGAGACUCUGGACGAUAGCCCAGGAAGGACAGCUUGCUUUCUUGAACAAAGAAAGCCUCUGGAUCAGUGGUUCUCAACCUUCCUAACGCUGCAACCUUUGAAUAGAGUUGCUCAUGUUACCGUGACCUCAAUCAGAAGAUUAUUUCACUGCUACUUCAAAACUGCAGUCUUGCUACUGUUCUGGAUUUAGUAUGCUUCUUUCUUCUUCAUUAAUUGAAGGGAGAGGCUCUUCUGAGUUCCAGCUGCUUGACCAAGAACACCCUGGCCAACACCACUCUUGACUCUCUAUUGCCUCUCCCUAUGAGAGCCAGCAGAAGUCCACUCUGAAUCCUUAAGGAUGGUCUCCCUCUAUAGCUCAUCCGUGACUGCUGACAAGAGCGUCUUCACUUUUUGGUGGAAUUGGGGUAGGGGUUUGAUAAGUGGGGUGAGUAGGUGGAGGAUGCAUAGGAACUAAGAGAAGAAGUUAGGUUUAGGGAAACCUUUAAAGCUAUGAGAUAGACCAGUUCUGGCGCCAGACACGUACAACCCCAGCACUGUGGGGCGAAAGCUGGAGAAUCAGAAAUUCAAGGUCAUUUCCAGCUAUAGAGGGAAUUCCAGACUAACCUGGGCUAUUGAGACCCUAUCUCAUAAAAGCAAAGAAAUGAGAAUAAAUGAAGCCUCAUUAACAGAUGGACCACCCCGGGUGCUCGAUGUUGUGAAAAAAGAAAUGAGAACUUUGGAUUCAGCCUCAGAAAGCUUUAAUACGUAAGCAAACAGAUAAAUAGCAGUAAAUACGUUCACAGACAUGAACGAGGUCACUGCUUCUAAGAGACAGGCCUUCACUAGAGUGGUAGAGACAGAAGACACAAGGAAACAUAGGAACCCAAAGGUCACAGCGCUUGGACACUGCGGUGGUUUGAAUAAGAAUGGCCACCACAGGCUCAAAUAUUUGAAUGUUUUAUUAAGGAGCGGUACUACUUGAAAGAGAUUCGAAGGUGUGGCCUUAUUGGAGGAAACGUGCCACUGGGCACAGGCUUUGGGAUUUCAGAAGCCCAAGCCAGGCCCCAUGAUUAUCACUCUUUCUGCUACCUGCAGAUCCAGACGCAGAACUCUGAGCUUCUUCUCCAGCACCACAUCUGCCUACGUACUACAUCCUUUCUGUCAUGAUGAGAAUGGGCUACACUUGUGAAGCUUCACCGUCACCAUGAGCUGAGCAACUGUUCUCCACCAUGUGUUCUGCCUCAUCGUAGGGUCAAAAAUAAAAACAAAACCAAAAAGCAAUGACCAGCUGCCCCUGAACAGAAGCCUCUGAAACCAUGAGCCAAUAUAACCCAUUCCUCCUUCUGAUUCACUCAUCUCGAGUAUUUUCUCACGGUGAUAAUGAACUGAUUAGCAUAUGAAUGAAAGAAAAAAAUUGUUUUCCAUGACAUGGCAAGAAAGGAACUCGAGUGUCUGUUGUUUCUAUUCAAGAGGUGUACAUUUUUCACAGAUGAGAAAUCCUGAGAUGAGAAACCAAGGGUGAUGUCAGGCUAUGUGGUGAGUCAGUGUGGGAAACCCUUCACCGUUGCUCCCUCAUGCUGUUGAUAAUUCUCCCACUGUUCACUGGUGUUGUGAAAUUAUCAAUCCCUAGUCUAACAUGCCCAUUCCUAAGUACCUACCGUUCAGGGCUCACCGUCAAAGAGCCACACUACAUCUGCAUCGUUUCCCUCCUCGGUUUUCACACACAGCUGUGAUUCCACGGCUUCGCUUCUCCUGGUGGUGGGACUGCCGUGACUCCCCCAGUAGCUGAACAAGACCCAGCUGCCCUGGACCUGGAAAGAUUACAGAGGUGGCUGCCUUAAAAUGAUCGACCAAGUCUAUGAUACUUUUCUGACGGCCUCCUCUUCACAUGCUUCGACUCGUUCAUUUUCAUCUCAACAGUAGGAGUUUUGACUUUUGGUCUCUCAUUCUGUCGUGAUCCUGGUCAGAGGUAGUGAGCUGCAGUCACUUGGUUGUCAAGGAAACAAUUCAGAUUUUACAGUGUGCUGUGCUGCUCAGCUAUGAUGUGUGCUCGGCUAGCUAUGUUCAGUGCCUUUUGCCUUAAAUGUCUUUUCAAGUUACAGUGGGAUUAUAGGCGCAUAACUCCACUGUCAGCCAUGGAGCGACCGUCUGGUGAGCAUGCAGAUGGCUUGUUGCUUCAGACCCUGAGUCAGAGGUGAAAUGAGACCAAGAAGGGACGAGUGGAAGGAAAUGGAAGAGGCAGCAGCCCCUCCUCCCUGACAUCAGCCUUGGCAAGGGUGGCUUUGGCCACUUGCUGUGUACUCUUGGCAUCAGCUGAGAACUUUGGGUUAUCACUGUGUUUGCUACUGGUCUGUCUGCAAGGUGCAAACUACCGUGACCAAUCGAGAGAGAAAGGUGAAUGUCAGCAUAUGUGUCUUUUUGAAAUGCAAAUGACUCUCAGGAAAGGUAAUAAUAAUUGCUAUGGCUCUUGUAAAAUUAAAAAAAAAAACAGAAAAACUUCAGGCAUACUCCUCCAAGCCCAUACAGCACCUCUUGCAUGAACUUUACCCAUUCAACUGCAGGAAAUGAACAUCAUGAGAGUCCCAGGACUUUUAGGUCAAAUAAACCUCAGGCAUCCUUUCUGUGCUGCAGGAUGGAAAAUAUUCUUAGCAUCCUAGAUGAGCAACAUCCACUCCUUUCACUUUAGAGAAAAAGAUGUUUAUGUCCCCUUGCUUUCUUUUACCAUAGCCAAAUUAUUCUGUCUCACAAGUGUUCAUUGUUUUGUUUGUUUUAUUUAAAUUGAACUACCUGAUAUCAAUCACUCUGAUAACAAGUUGAGUUUCAAAAAUUAUAGCUAAAUAUAUAUAUAAAUAUAUAUUAUAAAAUAGAACUAAAUAUAUAUAAUUAAACCAGCCAGUAAUAGUUAUUUAAAAUACCAGCCACUGUUGCUUGGCUUUGAGUUUUUGUAAUGUGACCUCAAUAUGUAACCGAGGCUAACCUUGAACUCAUGAUCCUCUUGCUUCUACCUCCACACUCUGAGAUUGCAAGCAUGUACCACCAUGCUCAAUGGAAAGCAAACAAAUAAAACAAACAAAAACAAACAUUUUUUAAAUGACAUGUUCAAAAAUGAGUCAACCUUAAGGGUCUUGCCUCUUUUGACAUUCUAUACUUUUUUUGAAAUCGUUUUAUUUUGAAGCUUAUUCUUGUCAUGUGUAAGAGUCUCAGAAGAUUAAAGAAAUAUUUUUGUCUGC